rnacentral:rRNA from 1 species
GACGUAGGGUGCGAGCGUUGUCCGGAUUUAUUGGGCGUAAAGAGCUCGUAGGCGGCUUGUUGCGUCGACUGUGAAAACCCGCGGCUUAACCGCGGGCUUGCAGUUGAUACGGGCAGGCUAGAGUUCGGUAGGGGAGACUGGAAUUCCUGGUGUAGCGGUGAAAUGCGCAGAUAUCAGGAGGAACACCGGCGGCGAAGGCGGCUUCCUGGACCGAUACUGACGCUGAGACGCGAAAGCGUGGGGAGCAAACAGG